rnacentral:rRNA from 1 species
UGGGGAAUCUUGGACAAUGGGCGCAAGCCUGAUCCAGCCAUGCCGCGUGAGUGAAGAAGGCCUUCGGGUUGUAAAGCUCUUUUACCAGGGACGAUAAUGACGGUACCUGGAGAAUAAGCCCCGGCAAACUUCGUGCCAGCAGCCGCGGUAAUACGAAGGGGGCUAGCGUUGUUCGGAAUUACUGGGCGUAAAGCGCACGUAGGCGGAUUGUUAAGUCAGAGGUGAAAUCCCGGAGCUCAACUUCGGAACUGCCUUUGAUACUGGCAAUCUAGAGUCCGGAAGAGGUUAGUGGAAUUCCCAGUGUAGAGGUGAAAUUCGUAGAUAUUCGGAAGAACACCAGUGGCGAAGGCGGCUCACUGGACGUGUAUUGACGCUGAGGUACGAAAGCGUGGGGAGCAAACAGGAUUAGAUACCCUAGUAGUCCCUGAGCGGGCUGGCAAGGCGCAU